UGGGGAAUAUUGGACAAUGGGCGAAAGCCUGAUCCAGCCAUGCCGCGUGUGUGAAGAAGGUCUUCGGAUUGUAAAGCACUUUAAGCUGGGAGGAAGGGCAUUAACCUAAUACGUUGGUGUUUUGACGUUACCGGCAGAAUAAGCACCGGCUAACUCCGUGCCAGCAGCCGCGGUAAUACAGAGGGUGCAAGCGUUAAUCGGAAUUACUGGGCGUAAAGCGCGCGUAGGUGGUUUGUUAAGUUGGAUGUGAAAUCCCCGGGCUCAACCUGGGAACUGCAUCCAAAACUGGCGAGCUAGAGUAGGGUAGAGGGUGGUGGAAUUUCCUGUGUAGCGGUGAAAUGCGUAGAUAUAGGAAGGAACACCAGUGGCGAAGGCGACCACCUGGACUCAUACUGACACUGAGGUGCGAAAGCGUGGGGAGCAAACA
rnacentral:rRNA from 1 species